rnacentral:rRNA from 1 species
CAUAGGUUAAUGAGGCGAACCGGGGGAACUGAAACAUCUAAGUACCCCGAGGAAAAGAAAUCAACCGAGAUUCCCCCAGUAGCGGCGAGCGAACGGGGAGCAGCCCAGAGCCUGAAUCAGUGUGUGUGUUAGUGGAAGCGUCUGGAAAGGCGCGCGAUACAGGGUGACAGCCCCGUACACAAAAAUGCACAUACUGUGAGCUCGAUGAGUAGGGCGGGACACGUGGUAUCCUGUCUGAAUAUGGGGGGACCAUCCUCCAAGGCUAAAUACUCCUGACUGACCGAUAGUGAACCAGUACCGUGAGGGAAAGGCGAAAAGAACCCCGGCGAGGGGAGUGAAAAAGAACCUGAAACCGUGUACGUACAAGCAGUGGGAGCACGCUUAGGCGUGUGACUGCGUACCUUUUGUAUAAUGGGUCAGCGACUUAUAUUCUGUAGCAAGGUUAACCGAAUAGGGGAGCCGAAGGGAAACCGAGUCUUAACUGGGCGUUAAGUUGCAGGGUAUAGACCCGAAACCCGGUGAUCUAGCCAUGGGCAGGUUGAAGGUUGGGUAACACUAACUGGAGGACCGAACCGACUAAUGUUGAAAAAUUAGCGGAUGACUUGUGGCUGGGGGUGAAAGGCCAAUCAAACCGGGAGAUAGCUGGUUCUCCCCGAAAGCUAUUUAGGUAGCGCCUCGUGAAUUCAUCUCCGGGGGUAGAGCACUGUUUCGGCAAGGGGGUCAUCCCGACUUACCAACCCGAUGCAAACUGCGAAUACCGGAGAAUGUUAUCACGGGAGACACACGGCGGGUGCUAACGUCCGUCGUGAAGAGGGAAACAACCCAGACCGCCAGCUAAGGUCCCAAAGUCAUGGUUAAGUGGGAAACG